GAGACAGCAGUAGCCGCGGUAAUACGUAGGUGGCAAGCGUUGUCCGGAAUUAUUGGGCGUAAAGGGCUCGCAGGCGGUUUCUUAAGUCUGAUGUGAAAGCCCCCGGCUCAACCGGGGAGGGUCAUUGGAAACUGGGAAACUUGAGUGCAGAAGAGGAGAGUGGAAUUCCACGUGUAGCGGUGAAAUGCGUAGAGAUGUGGAGGAACACCAGUGGCGAAGGCGACUCUCUGGUCUGUAACUGACGCUGAGGAGCGAAAGCGUGGGGAGCGAACAGGAUUAGAUACCCCCGUAGUCCCUGUCUCUUAUAC
rnacentral:rRNA from 1 species